rfam:Spinacia oleracea cultivar SynViroflay scaffold4201.con0001.1, whole genome shotgun sequence.
AGCCUAUUAGCUCAAUAUGGGAGAGCAUUGUGUGACAACGCACAAAGAUGUAGGUUCAAAUCCUACAUAGGCUA